GAUGAACGCUGGCGGCGUGCCUAAUACAUGCAAGUCGAGCGAACGGACGAGAAGCUUGCUUCUCUGAUGUUAGCGGCGGACGGGUGAGUAACACGUGGAUAACCUACCUAUAAGACUGGGAUAACUUCGGGAAACCGGAGCUAAUACCGGAUGAUAUUUUGAACCGCAUGGUUCAAAAGUGAAAGACGGUCUUGCUGUCACUUAUAGAUGGAUCCGCGCUGCAUUAGCUAGUUGGUAAGGUAACGGCUUACCAAGGCAACGAUGCAUAGCCGACCUGAGAGGGUGAUCGUCCACACUGGAACUGAGACACGGUCCAGACUCCUACGGGAGGCAGCAGUAGGGAAUCUUCCGCAAUGGGCGAAAGCCUGACGGAGCAACGCCGCGUGAGUGAUGAAGGUCUUCGGAUCGUAAAACUCUGUUAUUAGGGAAGAACAUAUGUGUAAGUAACUGUGCACAUCUUGACGGUACCUAAUCAGAAAGCCACGGCUAACUACGUG
rnacentral:rRNA from 1 species